rnacentral:rRNA from 1 species
CGAGUCUUAAUAGGGCGUUUAGUCGCUGGGUAUAGACCCGAAACCGGGCGAUCUAUCCAUGAGCAGGUUGAAGGUUAGGUAACACUGACUGGAGGACCGAACCCACUCCCGUUGAAAAGGUAGGGGAUGACUUGUGGAUCGGAGUGAAAGGCUAAUCAAGCUCGGAGAUAGCUGGUUCUCCUCGAAAGCUAUUUAGGUAGCGCCUCAUGUAUCACUCUGGGGGGUAGAGCACUGUUUCGGCUAGGGGGUCAUCCCGACUUACCAAACCGAUGCAAACUCCGAAUACCCA